rnacentral:rRNA from 1 species
GACGAACGCUGGCGGCGUGCCUAAUACAUGCAAGUAGAACGCACAGUUUAUACCGUAGCUUGCUACACCAUAGACUGUGAGUUGCGAACGGGUGAGUAACGCGUAGGUAACCUGCCUGGUAGCGGGGGAUAACUAUUGGAAACGAUAGCUAAUACCGCAUAAUAUUAAUUAUUGCAUGAUAAUUGAUUGAAAGAUGCAACUGCAUCACUACCAGAUGGACCUGCGUUGUAUUAGCUAGUAGGUGAGGUAACGGCUCACCUAGGCGACGAUACAUAGCCGACCUGAGAGGGUGAUCGGCCACACUGGGACUGAGACACGGCCCAGACUCCUACGGGAGGCAGCAGUAGGGAAUCUUCGGCAAUAGACGAAAGUCUGACCGAGCAACGCCGCGUGAGUGAAGAAGGUUUUCGGAUCGUAAAGCUCUGUUGUAAGAGAAGAACGGGUGUGAGAGUGGAAAGUUCACACUGUGACGGUAUCUUACCAGAAAGGGACGGCUAACUACGUG